rnacentral:rRNA from 1 species
CGAGUGGCGAACGGGCGAGUAAUGCAUCGGAACGUGCCCAUGUCGUGGGGGAUAACGUAUCGAAAGGUACGCUAAUACCGCAUACGUCCUGAGGGAGAAAGCGGGGGAUCUUCGGACCUCGCGCGAUUGGAGCGGCCGAUGUCGGAUUAGCUAGUAGGUGAGGUAAGGGCUCACCUAGGCGACGAUCCGUAGCGGGUCUGAGAGGAUGAUCCGCCACUCUGGGACUGAGACACGGCCCAGACUCCUACGGGAGGCAGCAGUGGGGAAUUUUGGACAAUGGGCGCGAGCCUGAUCCAGCCAUGCCGCGUGAGUGAAGAAGGCCUUCGGGUUGUAAAGCUCUUUCGGCCGGGAAGAAAUCGUGUUCUCUAACAUAGGACAUGGAUGACGGUACCGGACUAAGAAGCACCGGCUAACUACGUGCCAGCAGCCGCGGUAAUACGUAGGGUGCGAGCGUUAAUCGGAAUUACUGGGCGUAAAGCGUGCGCAGGCGGUUUUGUAAGACAGAUGUGAAAUCCCCGGGCUUAACCUGGGAACUGCGUUUGUGACUGCAAGGCUAGAGUACGGCAGAGGGGGGUGGAAUUCCUGGUGUAGCAGUGAAAUGCGUAGAUAUCAGGAGGAACACCGAUGGCGAAGGCAGCCCCCUGGGCCUGUACUGACGCUCAUGCACGAAAGCGUGGGGAGCAAACAGGAUUAGACACCCUGGUAGUCCACGCCCUAAACGAUGUCGACUAGUCGUUCGGAGCAGCAAUGCACUGAGUGACGCAGCUAACGCGUGAAGUCGACCGCCUGGGGAGUACGGCCGCAAGGUUAAAACUCAAAGGAAUUGACGGGGACCCGCACAAGCGGUGGAUGAUGUGGAUUAAUUCGAUGCAACGCGAAAAACCUUACCUACCCUUGAC